rnacentral:lncRNA from 1 species
CGUGUUAUAGUUAACUAACAAACAAGCAAAACAGUACUCAAGCCCAUAUAAGAAAAUACAACAAUAGGGGCUAAAAGGAAUAUAUCUGAUAGCAUAAGAGAUGACCGGAGAGGUGGCGAUCAGAACUGCGAAGGUGGAGAUCGGAUUGUGAGCUGCAAAGGUGGAGAUGAGAGCUGCAAAAGAUGGAACACACAUGGAUUAAUUCUGAGACCGUCUUUACGAAAAUAAUACUUCAUCAAAAUAAGCUCAAUAACUAAAAACCCCUAAUUCUACAGCAUCAUAAUUUCAAACCUUUCCAAACAUCAUCGAUAUACACUACCAUUCAAAUGCAACAGAGCAUGAUAACAGUAUAAUGAUCUGACUGUUACGAAACAGAUUAAUUCCAAGGACAAAUCACAGCGAACUUACUUAACAAUGUUGAAGAAGACGUGGAAACUGUUGCGCCUGAAAAUAGU